CCAGACCCCGGGUAUGGGAAGAUGGAACGAGAACGAUUCCGGCGAGCAGGGCAAAACAGAUCGGAGUCAGACACACUUCAGCUCUGAAGGUCCAGGAUAUUUCACCAUGGGAGGUUCGGCAAACAACGGCAUGGCAACUCAAGAGGAUAAAACAGGGAUGCUUCAGAGGAUCAGUGUUUGGAUCCCAUGUCAAAACGUGGAGUGGAAGAGGGUAACAAGGAGCUACUCCAUAGCAGGCCACAGGGCAGUGUUUGCCAGCACACUUCCACUUGGUUAAGCUGGGAAGUCUCAUGAUGCAAGGACCUUGUCAGGAUUACAGCUGUAUCCCCGGAGCCUAGCGCUGUGCUUGGCAUACAACAGGUGCUCAAUCAAUACUUGCCAAAUGACUGAAUGCAUCCUGUCAGUAUCAGGAUGCCACCCAGGCCCUGAGGGAGCCAGGGCAUGGGAGGAAAACGUUUGGACUCCUGCCAUGCCUUACAUUAGCAGCAUCUUCUCUGAGCCCUGACAGCCAGCCCCCUGGGACGCCAUUUGAGCCAGCUGAAUUCCGGUCACUGUUUCACCUUGGAAAGGCAACCGCAGCCCUCACCAAGCAGCCCAGUAACUGACGUCACAGCAGUGCCAGGAGCUGCCCCGUUAAUAUUUAAUGUAGACUCCACUGCGGCAGAGCUGCAGGCUAGAAGAGCUGGAGGGGGCUGUGCACCGUCUCCAUGGGGUCGUGAGGAGGGCACAGAUGGAAAACGGCUUCAUAAACCGGAAAGCCCCCAGCAGAUGAGCAUUACACUGGCCUGUUUUAGUCCCUGGCUUAACUCAGAAAGAGCCAGAACAGCAUGUGCCUGCAGUAGGACAAGGAGACUGCUGACUGAGCCCAAGUGAUAAAUAUAUGCGGGAUUAGGGGCUCCGAGGGAGAUUUCCUGGAGACUGUGGGAGGGUGAGCACUGGCGCCAGCCAGACCUGGACUCUACUCCAGGUUUGCACAGUGCAGCUGUGCGACUGGGUAGCAACUGUACCACUGAGCCUCAGUUCUCUGAUCUGUGAGAUGGGCAUAAUACCUUCCUUGAGGGGCUGUUGUGAGGAUUAAAUAAAACAAGUGAUGGAGAAGAGCCAGCUCAGUACUUACUAGGACCUUGGUAAAUGCUUCUCCAAACCUCAGGGGCCUGAGGUUAGUGACAGGAGAUGUGAAAGUGCUUCAUGCAUUCACUGGCCAGGAACAGGAAGAGAGGGGCCCUUGUGGACCAUCUCUUCUGAUCAUCUGACCCCUUCAUUAGACAGACAAGGAUGCUGAGGGCCCAGGAGGGGACAGAGGCUCACACAGCAGAGCUGAGGUCUGACCUGAUCUGCAGUUGCCUGCCAGCCUUCCCCACCAGUGAUGAUGAUGAGAUGCCCCCAUUGAUGAUGGAUGCCUCUGCCUCUCUGACCUGGACAAAGCAGGACCCUCAUCCUCCACCCCUUCCUUGUCUCCCUCUGGUAUGUUUCCCCACAAAUCCUGGCAGCUUCCCAAAAUGUAAAUCCGAACCAAGGCAGCCCCUGCUUAAACCCCUUCUGUGGUCUCACAUUUAGCACUGGCCAGAGAAAAUACAGGAGGCCCAGUUAAAACUGAAUUUCAUAUAAAGAACAAAUGAUUCUUCAGUAUAAGAAUGUUCCAGGGACGCCUGGGUAGCUCCGUCAGUUG